GGGAUUGUAGUUCAAUUGGUCAGAGCACCCGCCUGUCAAGGCGGAAGCUGCGGGUUCGAGCCCCGUCAGUCCCG
rnacentral:tRNA from 1 species